rnacentral:rRNA from 1 species
ACGGGGGGGGCAAGCGUUGUUCGGAAUUACUGGGCGUAAAGGGCUCGUAGGUGGCCAACUAAGUCAGACGUGAAAUCCCUCGGCUCAACCGGGGAACUGCGUCUGAUACUGGAUGGCUUGAAUCCGGGAGAGGGAUGCGGAAUUCCAGGUGUAGCGGUGAAAUGCGUAGAUAUCUGGAGGAACACCGGUGGCGAAGGCGGCAUCCUGGACCGACACUGACGCUGAGGCGCGAAAGCUAGGGUAGCAAACGGGA